rnacentral:lncRNA from 10 species
AAGAGGCCAGACCAGCUAGAGGGUGGGUGUCUGACAUGCUGAGGGGGCAGGGGCAGGGCCUGGAGAAUAAGAGUGGCACCUCUCAAGCCCAGGCUCAAGCUCAAGGACAGAGCCCAGGCUCAGGUAGAGAGGAACCACAAGGACGGGCCACCAUCGGCACUGCGCUGAGACCCAGGCACUAUAGAAUUCAGAAGAUAGGAGUCUAGCAGCCUCCAGACAGGGCAAGGAGGGGACAGAGAAAGAUGUGGGUGCAGGACGCACAGACACCUCUCCUUCCCUGCCUGCUGAGCCACCCUCACCAGGUCUCACUUGCCCUGUCCCCCAGGUGAGAAAUCUGCAGUGAAGAAAGGUACAUCCCAAGGGGACACCGACAGUAAGCAGCGGAGCUGGGAUUCCAGACACGUGGCUGGGCCUCUGCAGGAAGAAAUCAAACGUGUGGAAGGGUUGGGGAGAGGAGAUGCCUAGAAGGGAUUUUCCUGUAUUCUCUUAGUGGUGGGGCCCAGGAUGUGGCAGCUGGUGGUGUUGGCUGAGCAGUCCCUCUCCAGGGGAAGGGGCUGGAUGAGUUCAGAGAGUUUGGCUGGGCGUGCCAGGCGCAACAGCAUGAUGUCCUGGUCAUGGCUGGCGGCAUCAUAGUCAGGGUGGAUCACAGCCCGGACAACAGAACUCUGCUCCUGGGAACUCUCCCUUUGCCGAAGGUUAUGCUUCCCCAGGAAGACCUGAAGAUUCCUGGGAAGGAAGAGGGCUGGGUCUCACCUGGAGCCCUUGGGCUGCAGUUGAGGCUUCAGAGAGGGCUGGGAAGUCAUGAAUCGCUGGCCUGCUCCUCCCA